GCAAACUUGGUCAUUUAGAGGAAGUAAAAGUCGUAACAAGGUUUCCGUAGGUGAACCUGCGGAAGGAUCAUUACUGAGUUAGGGUUUCAUUUUUGAGCCCGAACCUCCAACCCUUUGUUUACUUGACCUUUUUUGUUGCUUCGGCAGGCCGGUGUUUCGACACCGCCGGGGGUGGUAACCCCCCUGGAGAGUGCCUGUCGAUGGCCCAAUUUUAAUCUCUGAUGAACUGUGUCGUCUGAGUUUUAUUUUAAAAACAAGCAAAACUUUCAACAACGGAUCUCUUGGUUCUGGCAUCGAUGAAGAACGCAGC
rnacentral:misc_RNA from 1 species